UACGUAGGGUGCAAGCGUUGUCCGGAAUUAUUGGGCGUAAAGAGCUCGUAGGCGGUUUGUCGCGUCUGCCGUGAAAGACCGGGGCUCAACUCCGGUUCUGCAGUGGGUACGGGCAGACUAGAGUGCAGUAGGGGAGACUGGAAUUCCUGGUGUAGCGGUGAAAUGCGCAGAUAUCAGGAGGAACACCGAUGGCGAAGGCAGGUCUCUGGGC
rnacentral:rRNA from 1 species